UUCCACCUUUCCUGGAGCCAGCAAACCUGCCGGAGCUGGGGCCAGAAGUGCCGCGGCUGGGCUUCCCGGGAACGGCCUCUCCUCUACUUCCCUGACAGGGCCACCUUUUGGUUCCCGUCCUAGCACCCCCCUUUCUGUCUCCGAAGCAGUCUCUGCCCUCCUCCUUCGGCCUUCUUCCUCCGGGAUCUGCAUCUCAGCUCCUGCCUCUCACUCCCUCUCUGUCUGCCUUCUGUUUCUCUUUGGGUGUCUCCCAGCUCUCCUCUUCCUGGCCUGGCUCCUCUCUCUGAUCCUGCCUCUCUUCCUCUUCCCCCUUGCCUUACCCCCUCUCACUCUAGACCCUCACCUCCAGCCUCUGGCCCUGACCUCGAGCUGUGUCCUGAUUCCGUCUCCGCCCCAGGACGGCAGGGCUCCGGGAGGUCUGGGCUGCCUCCAGCUUCCCACUCCCAGGUUGCGGCUGGACUGGGACUGGUUCCUUUCCAGUUGAAUCUGGCAGCCAAGCCUCUCCUCCCCCUCACCUGACAGGUGCAGCGGCCUGACUGGGGAGCCCGCCUGCCGGCUGGCCAGAAGUAGAAGCAACAGGAGCCUCAUUAGCAUCUCAAUUAAAGGUGAGCAGGGCGUGGGGAGAAGCCGAGUAGGAGUCAGAGCUGGGAGUUUUCCGAAGGGAGGAGGGAUCCAGAGGGCAGGUGAACCCGGAGUAUUGGACCUGAGACGGUGGACUCUGGGCAGGGGCUUUGAUUCGGAGCUGAUAGGCAAGGAGGCUGGGGGACAGGAUGGAGGUGGAAGGGCAAAGAUCUGAAUAAGUAGAAGGAUCCUGAGCCCACAGCCUGGAGGGCAACGCAAAGAGAAGGGGCCAGCCAGGUUGAGAGGGCCUGGAUGGGGAACCCUGAGGCUGGGAGGACAGAAAAAGGGAGGUAAUAGAGAGGGACAGUGGACAGCGCGGGACGGAGAGACAGGGAUGGAAGCGGGGCACCGAGUGAGCAGAGGUGGAGAGGGGGCUGCACAGAGAAGGAACCGGCCCCAAAGGGAGCCGCUCUCCAGGCAGGAGUGCAAGGGGGAAGUCCUAAGUGUGCUUCCAGGAGCUAGAGUCUCUGCAAGUGGGAAACCCGCCAAGGGCACUGGCAGGUCAGCCUCACCCCAGGCCCAGGAGAGAAGAGAGAAGAGGUCUCCGUAAGUCUCCUCCUGCUCACUCAGGUGGGGUGCAUCUGCCUCCACCUGGUCCAUCCUCUUUCCUGCUGAUUCCUCACCACCCCCUCCGACCUCGUCCAGACCCAGGGAGGGGCCCAGAUGCAAGGAGAGAGACCAGGCGUAUUGAUCUUGGUGACCUCAGUGUCUAGUGGUCUUUGCUUGCUGACCCACUCUGCGGAAGACAGCAGAACUACCUUCUUGGCUGUAUCAUUCUCUGUGGUGGGACAGGACGAUUCUGUCCUAUCUACAAUUCUGUGCAUUGCUGCACAUUUACCAGCAUCCCUGGCUUCCAUCUGUCAGAUGCCAGUAGAACUUCCUCCUGAGUCAUCGUGAUCAAAACCAUCUCCUAAUAUUGCCAAGUGACUUCUGGGGGACAAAGUCACCCCCGCCGAAAAGACUGGGUUAAGGCAUUGUCACCACUGAAAAUGCAAACACUCUGGAGAAGGACAACCCUCAUCAGUUACACACUUCUGGGUGUUUGCCAGCUCCUUUCCAAGAGCACUAGUCAGCUAAGAGCGGAGUGGGAAAGAAGGGACAGAGUAUUUAGAAGAAUCCAUUCCUGGCUGGGUGCAGUGACUCACACCUGUGAGCCCUUUGCACU